UACGUAGGGCGCAAGCGUUGUCCGGAAUUAUUAGGCGUAAAGAGCUCGUAGGCGGUUUGUCGCGUCUGCUGUGAAAUCCCGAGGCUCAACCUCGGGCUUGCAGUGGGUACGGGCAGACUAGAGUGCGGUAGGGGAGACUGGAAUUCCUGGUGUAGCGGUGGAAUGCGCAGAUAUCAGGAGGAACACCGAUGGCGAAGGCAGGUCUCUGGGCCGCAACUGACGCUGAGGAGCGAAAGCAUGGGGAGCGAACAGG
rnacentral:rRNA from 1 species